UACAGAGGUCUCAAGCGUUGUUCGGAUUCAUUGGGCGUAAAGGGCGCGUAGGCGGCGGGGUAAGUCGGGUGUGAAAUCUCAGGGCUCAACCCCUGAAACUGCACUCGAUACUGCUCUGCUUGAGGACUGGAGAGGAGACUGGAAUUCACGGUGUAGCAGUGAAAUGCGUAGAGAUCAUGAGGAAGACCAGUGGCGAAGGCGGGUCUCUGGACAGUUCCUGACACUGAGACACGAAGGCCAGGGGAGCAAACGGG
rnacentral:rRNA from 1 species